rnacentral:rRNA from 1 species
CAGUCGCCGCGGGAAUACGAAGGUCCCGAGCGUUGUUCGGAAUCACUGGGCGUAAAGGGAGCGUAGGCGGCGUGGUAAGUUAGAUGUGAAAUCCCGGGGCUCAACCCCGGAACUGCAUCCGAUACUGCCAUGCUAGAGGAUUGGAGAGGUAGCUGGAAUUCUUGGUGUAGCAGUGAAAUGCGUGGAGAUCAAGAGGAACACUCGUGGCGAAAGCGAGCUACUGGACAAUAACUGACGCUGAGGCUCGAAGGCCAGGGUAGCGAAAGGGAUUAGAUACCCUGUAGUCCCUGUCUCUUAUACA